GGUAUGAAAGGGUUAACGAAGAAGGUGCUGUGUCUAAAAAUUCAAUUUAAACUAACUUUAAGGUGAAGAGGCCUUUAUGUAAAAGAAGGACGACAAGACCCUAUGAAGCUUUAUCUUAAUUGGAGCUCUCAGGCUCUUAUACGAUUUUGAUGGGAGAUCAGUAGAAAGAAGUCUUCUACUAUCAUAUUAAUCUUACUAGUAUUUCCUAACUUUAUAUGUGUGGCUAGCUACUCUAGGGAUAACAGCGUAAUUUCUCCCGAAAGAUGGUAUUGGAGGGGAAGAUUGCGACCUCGAUGUUGGCUUUAGAUAUCCUAGAGGCGUAGAAGCUUCU
rnacentral:rRNA from 1 species